UGCUUUUCUGUUCUGUUCUUCUUUUCUCUUCUUUCCUUUCCUUCUCGCUGCACUUCAUGAGGAAGGAAGGAAGUGAAUAGUUUUUCAAUGAAAUGAAAAGAAAAGAAAAGGACUUUCUUGCUUAUCU
rnacentral:ribozyme from 1 species